UUCAUGGUUAAAUAAAACAGAGCUUCUCCUCCUCCACUUCUUUCAGCUUCCAUUAUCCUCUCUAUAGUCUACUUUUUUUUGCUACAAGGUACGAUUUUUCCAGCUUGAAUCCACUUCUUCGAAGCUGAAUUAAUUUCAUAAUCAGGUUCUGCUUUCAAAUUUGAGCUGAAGGCUUCUUCUCAAAGUUAAUUUCUCAGUAAAUGCAAAGAAUUAAUUAGGGGCCAUUCUAGUCCAUGGCCUCCCUGAAGCCCCUAAUUUCUCCUGAUAACAGCUCGUAUGAGAGUAGGAAGCUAAGUUCUUUUAAUUCUCUCAGUUUUGCUUCAUAUACUGUGUAUUCGGGCAUUUUUAUUACAAAUGGGGGAGCACUUUUUUUAAAGCCAUUUUGUAAAUUGAAACACAUUACGGUUUCUAGGUUGGAAAAUGAGUUUUUGGAUAAAUCUGAAUCCAAGCUGGACGGUGAUUGGUCGGAUAGAGUGAAGAAGUAUGUGGCCGGUGAUGAUAAUCUGGUUUUAGAAGGCCAAAAUUUUCAUGGGGAUUCUGAUAGAGUGAGGGUGAAUAUCUGGAAGAAUUUCAGGGGUGGGAAGGCAUUGAGGAAUAAGAGCAAAAAUAAUUUGGGUGAUCAAAGGAAUGCUAAAAAGCAUAAGUGUGAAGAAAAAUUCGGAAAUACUUUCGAUUCUAAAACUGCGUUUGAGUUAGAUUUCAAUGCUCUUGAUCCCGACUUGAGCUUAGACUGUUGCAAUCAGAUCUUAGAGCUGCUUGAGGGAAGCAAUGAUAGCAAAGCUUUGAGGUUUUUUGAGUGGAUGAAAGUUAAAGGGAAGUUGAAGAAGAAUUUGACUGCUUAUAAUUUGGUAUUGAGGGUUUUGGGUAGAAAAGGGGAUUGGGAUGGUGCAGAGGUCAUGAUUAAGGAGAUGGUUUCCGAGUCGGGCUGCAAGCUUACUUAUCAGAUAUUUAAUACCCUUAUAUAUGCUUGUUAUAAGAAUGGGCUAGUGGAAAUCGGUUCUUGGUGGUUCAGGAUGAUGCUCAACUGCGGGGUUCAACCGAAUGCUGCUACUUUCGGGAUGCUGAUGGCUCUAUACCGGAAAGGUUGGGUUGUUGAGGAGGCGGAGUGUACGUUUUUACAGAUGAGGAAGAUGAAGAUAGUGUGUCAUUCUGCUUAUUCAGCUAUGAUUACAAUUUAUACGCGCAUGGGAUUGUAUGAAAGAGCUGAAGCGGUUAUUGGUUUCCUAAAAGAAGAUGAAGUUGUUUUAAAUCAUGAUAAUAGGUUAGUUCUGCUCAAUGCUUACUGCCAGCAGGGCAAGUUGGGCAUGGCUAAGCAAGUGUUUUAUGCAAUGAGAGAAUCUGGUUUUUCUACUAACGUAAUUGCAUAUAACACGAUGAUCACUGGGCAUGGCAAAGUUUCAAAAAUGGAUGGAGCUGAGCAGUUGUUCCGUGAUCUAAAAGAUGCUGGUGUUAUACCUGAUGAGACAACAUAUAGGCUGAUGAUUGAAGGUUGGGGUCGAGCAGGUGGCUAUAAGAAGGUGAAGCUUUACUAUAACGAGCUCAAGAGGUUAGGUUUUAAGCCUAGCACUUCAAACUUGUAUACAUUGAUAAGAUUGCAAGCUGAACAUGAAGAUGAGGAGGGUGCUAUUGCAACUGUUGAUGACAUGAUCGAUAUUGGUUGUUCAAAGUCCUCCAUUCUCGGGAUUGUUCUACAGACGUAUGAGAAGGCUAAUAGAGUGGAAAUGAUGUCUUUGAUUUUGCUAGGACCCAUGUAUGAUCACGUUCUUAAAAACCAGACAUCUUGUGCAAUUCUUGUAACGGCUUACGUAAAAAAUAGCUUGGUUUAUGAUGCUCUAAAAGUUCUAAGAGAGAAGCAGUGGGACGAUCUCAUAUUUGAGGACAAUUUGUACCAUCUCUUAAUAUGUUUGUGCAAAGAUUUGGGACGCCUGGAGAGCGCCAUCAAGAUAUUUAUCCACAUGCCAAAAUCUGCCAAGCCAAACUUGAAUAUCUCCUGCACAAUGAUAGACAUUUACAGCAAAAUGAGCAUGUUUUCAGAAGCUGAAGGACUUUAUAUUGAGUUGAAAAGUUCAGAUGUCAAACUUGACAUGGUAGCCUUCAGCAUUGUUAUAAGAAUGUAUGUCAAAUCGGGGAAUCUGGAAGAGGCCUGUGUGGUUGUUGACUUGAUGGCUGAAGAGGAGAAUAUUGUGCCUGAUGUUUAUCUUCUUCGUGACAUACUUCGCAUUUAUCAGCGUUGUGGCAAGGCUGGAAAAUUGGCAGAUCUGUACUAUAAAGUGCUGAAAAACGAUGAAAGUUGGGAUGAGGAAAUGUACAACUGUGUGAUAAACUGCUGUGCACGUGCGUUGCCGGUUGACGAACUUUCAAGGCUAUUCGAUGAAAUGCUACAGAAAGGAUUUUCACCAAACACCGUUACCUUCAACUUAAUGUUGAAUGCUUAUGGGAAAUCCAAGCUGUUUGGGAAGGCAAGAAAGGUAUUUUGGAUAGCUAAGAGGCGAGGCUUGGUUGAUGUUAUAUCUUACAACACGAUCAUAGCUGCUUAUGGGAAAAAUAAAUACUUAAGCAAUAUGUCAGCUGCUGUGAAGAGAAUGCACUUUGAUGGCUUUUCAGUUUCUCUUGAAGCCUACAACUGCAUGUUGGACGUCUACGGGAAAGAAGGGGAAAUGGAUAAGUUUAGAGAUGUUUUGCAGAGGAUGAAGGCAUCUAUAGGUUGUGCUGACCUCUACACAUACAACAUCUUGAUCAACAUAUAUGGAGAGCGAGGAUGGAUUGAUGAGGUCGCAGCUGUGCUAAUGGAACUCAAAGAGCGUGGAAUUGGCCCUGAUUUGUGCAGCUAUAACACAUUAAUAAAAGCAUAUGGCAUUGCUGGGAUGGUUGAAGAGGCCGUUGGUUUGGUUAAGGAGAUGAGAGGAAACGGAAUUGAACCUGACAGGAUAACAUAUACAAACCUUAUAACCGCACUGAAAAAGAACGAUAUGUUUCUGGAGGCUGUGAAGUGGUCAUUGUGGAUGAAGCAGAUGGGAAUGUGAUUCUUGCAGUAGUAUCGAAUUUGUUUACUAUUGACUUGGCAAAUCGAGCAUGUACGGAGCAGUGAGACAGAUAUGCAGAUCCAUGGUGCACGAAAAACGGUACACAACCAUUUUCUCAAAAAUCAAAUCGGCAGUUGAAUUGUAUCAAUCCCCAACCAACAAUAGCGGAAUACGUCGUAUUCUGUGUAAUACGCAGCCUCAGCGAGCUCCUAAUAUACGAAGCACGCCACAUCCCCGAGCUCGGCGGCCGAAUCGAGGUGAUCCAAAUGAAGCUCCGGUAGUUGCAAUCCAUCCUCGAGAUCGCCGACGCCAGGCAUGAAAUCGACAAAGGAAUCCACAACUGGAUCGCCGAGACCAGAGAAGUCGCCUACGACAUCGAAGAUCUCCUCCUCGUAGUCCUCUCUCCGCCUAAUUUUGCAAAAGAAGGAAGAGGAGAAGAUGAGAAGAACGCAGUUUCUUUUUCAAAUGCCAAUGACGUAGCCUAAUUUUGGAUGUGCAAUGACCAUUAUAUCACCGCAUUGUUAUUGUGGAGUAAAUUUGUGAUUGAGGGAACUAAUUU